GACGGGUGAGUAAUGUCUGGGAAACUGCCUGAUGGAGGGGGAUAACUACUGGAAACGGUAGCUAAUACCGCAUAAUGUCGCAGGACCAAAGAGGGGGACCUUCGGGCCUCUUGCCAUCAGAUGUGCCCAGAUGGGAUUAGCUUGUUGGUGAGGUAACGGCUCACCAAGGCGACGAUCCCUAGCUGGUCUGAGAGGAUGACCAGCCACACUGGAACUGAGACACGGUCCAGACUCCUACGGGAGGCAGCAGUG
rnacentral:rRNA from 1 species